GACAGAGGGUGCAAACGUGUUCGGAAUUACUGGGCGUAAAGCGCGUGUAGGCGGCCCUGCAAGUCGGAUGUGAAAUCCCACGGCUCAACCGUGGAAGUGCAUUCGAAACUGCAGGGCUAGAGUCCUGGAGAGGAAGGUGGAAUGCUUGGUGUAGAGGUGAAAUUCGUAGAUAUCAAGCGGAACACCGGUGGCGAAGGCGGCCUCUGGACAGUGACUGACGCUGAGACGGCGAAAGCGUGGGGAGCAAAC
rnacentral:rRNA from 1 species